GACGAACGCUGGCGGCGUGCUUAACACAUGCAAGUCGAACGGUAAGGCCCUUCGGGGUACACGAGUGGCGAACGGGUGAGUAACACGUGGGUGAUCUGCCCUGCACUUCGGGAUAAGCCUGGGAAACUGGGUCUAAUACCGGAUAGGACUCCUGGCUUCAUGGUUGGGGGUGGAAAGCUUUUGCGGUGUGGGAUGGGCCCGCGGCCUAUCAGCUUGUUGGUGGGGUAAUGGCCUACCAAGGCGACGACGGGUAGCCGGCCUGAGAGGGUGACCGGUCACACUGGGAGUGAGAUACGGCCCAGACUCCUACGGGAGGCAGCAGUGGGGAAUAUUGCGCAAUGGGCGCAAGCCUGACGCAGCGACGCCGCGUGAGGGAUGACGGCCUUCGGGUUGUAAACCUCUUUCAGCUAUGACGAAGCGCAAGUGACGGUAGUAGCAGAAGAAGGACCGGCCAACUACGUGCCAGCCGCCGCCGUAA
rnacentral:rRNA from 1 species